AAAAUGCAAACACUGAAGUUACAGGUUAGGGAUCCCAGCACUGUGGAGCUGGAAGACAGGCAGGCCUGGGCAGAUCUACCGGGUAGACACGAGGCUUCACUUUCCCUCACUUAAUUCCCCACCUGAAACUAACAAGAGGGCACUAAAGAACCUCCUAGACCAGGGCUUGGCAAACUGUUUUUGUAAGAGCCAGAGGAUCAGUAUUUUCAGCUUUGCUGACCACGUGGUCUGUGUCAGGAUGAUCAUCUCUGCUAUGGUAGCACAAAAGCACCCACAGGCAAAAUGUAAAUGAGAAAGUGUGGCUCUGUUCCAAUAAAACUUUAUUUACAGGCUGUGUGCAGUGGCAUGUGCCUGUAAACCCAGCACUUUGGGAAGCUAAGGCAGGAGGAUUGCUUGAUGCCAGGAGUUCGAGGCCAGCCUGGGCAACAUGCUGAGACCCCAUCUCUGCAAAAUAUACUAUAUAUAUAUAUGACACAGGCUGGUCAGCUCGGGGGGCCCUGCACCGGGGCCAACAGCUCCUAAGGGCUGACACAAGCUCCUCCCCAGGUUCAGAGGACAGGCUGCCUCUCC
rnacentral:lncRNA from 1 species